rnacentral:lncRNA from 1 species
CUAAUAACUGCUAUUACCAAGUUCUGCUCUCCUGCGUCUGACUUCCCUGCCACCGGUUACUCACCCCUUACAUGGUGACACGAGUCAAUAGAACUUGAUGAGCUAGCCACAAAAGUCUUCCUGAUUGGAUUAGUUGCAGACCUUAUAGUAGAAUUCAGGGUCAUCAGAAGGGAUGGGUUCAACUCCAGAUUCUGCCACGUGAAGCAUCAUCUGCUGGAUUGACUUUGGAGCUCACAACACCAUUGUAUUAGAUAAACCUCUGAUGACAGACUGUUUACCACAAAUGUCUGGAACCUUCUUGUUUCGUUGGCUCAAUGUUACAACUGAGAGUGAGACCAGAGUGAGGGCGAGGGAAGUGACUCAAGUUUUUAUUUGGUGGGACCAUUUUACCUGCUUAUAACAUUGGGGAGAACAUGACACACGGCUUCUGCAACUGGAUCCUGGACUUCCUGACAGGCCGACCUCAGGUGGUGAGAGAAUGCAACAACAGCUUCGCGACGAUGUCCCUCAGCACGUGGGGCCCCCAGGGGUGUGUGCUCAGCCCCCUCCUGUACUCCCUUUUUACGCACGACUAUGCACCCAUCGACAAGUUUGCUGACGACACGACGGUGGUAGGCCUGAACACCAAUGGCGAUGUAUAUCCUAUGUAUAUCCUACUACCAGUAACUUUUUAUGUAUAAAC